rnacentral:rRNA from 1 species
GAUGAACGCUGGCGGCGUGCUUAACACAUGCAAGUCGAACGAAGCACCUUGAUUUGAUUCUUCGGAUGAAGAUCUUGGUGACUGAGUGGCGGACGGGUGAGUAACGCGUUGGUAACCUGCCUCAUACAGGGGGAUAACAGUUAUAAAUGACUGCUAAUACCGCAUAAGACCACAGCACCGCAUGGUGCAGGGGUAAAAACUCCGGUGGUAUGAGAUGGACCCGCGUCUGAUUAGGUAGUUGGUGGGGUAACGGCCUACCAAGCCGACGAUCAGUAGCCGACCUGAGAGGGUGACCGGCCACAUUGGGACUGAGACACGGCCCAAACUCCUACGGGAGGCAGCAGUGGGGAAUAUUGUACAAUGGGGGAAACCCUGAUGCAGCGACGCCGCGUGAGCGAUGAAGUAUUUCGGUAUGUAAAGCUCUAUCAGCAGGGAAGAAAAUGACGGUACCUGACUAAGAAGCACCGGCUAAAUACGUG